CGUUAUGGCGGCUGUGUGUGGGAGACCUUCGGGUCUGCCGGGGUCCUGUAUGCCCGGUCCGCUAACCUGCGCACAGCUGCCACCUAU
rnacentral:antisense_RNA from 1 species